GGGCCCGCACAAGCGGCGGAGCAUGCGGAUUAAUUCGAUGCAACGCGAGGAACCUUACCAGGGCUUAAAUGUAAGUUGCAUUAGUUAGAGAUAGCUAUUUCUUCGGACCACUUACAAGGUGCUGCAUGGUUGUCGUCAGCUCGUGCCGUGAGGUGUCAGGUUAAGUCCUAUAACGAGCGCAACCCCUGUUGUUAGUUGCCAGCGAGUCAUGUCGGGAACUCUAACAAGACUGCCGGUGCAAACCGUGAGGAAGGUGGGGAUGACGUCAAAUCAUCACGGCCCUUACGUCCUGGGCUACACACGUGCUACAAUGGUCGGUACAGAGAGCAGCCACUACGCGAGUAGGAGCGAAUCUUCAAAGCCGAUCACAGUUCGGAUCGGAGUCUGCAACUCGACUCCGUG
rnacentral:rRNA from 1 species